rnacentral:rRNA from 1 species
AAGGAAUAUUGGUCAAUGGACGCAAGUCUGAACCAGCCAUGCCGCGUGAAGGAUGAAGGUCCUCUGGAUUGUAAACUUCUUUUAUCUGGGACGAAAACGGGAUUUUUAUCUCAAUUGACGGUACCAGAGGAAUAAGCACCGGCUAACUCCGUGCCAGCAGCCGCGGUAAUACGGAGGGUGCGAGCGUUAUCCGGAUUUACUGGGUUUAAAGGGUGCGUAGGUGGGCUUAUAAGUCAGUGGUGAAAUCUCCGAGCUUAACUUGGAAACUGCCGUUGAUACUAUAGGUCUUGAAUUAUCUGGAGGUAAGCGGAAUAUGUCAUGUAGCGGUGAAAUGCUUAGAUAUGACAUAGAACACCCAUUGCGAAGGCAGCUUACUACAUAUAAAUUGACGCUGAGGCACGGAAGCGUGGGGAUCAAACA